rnacentral:rRNA from 1 species
AUGAACGCUGGCGGCGUGCCUAAUACAUUCAAGUCGAGCGAACAGACGAGGAGCUUGCUCCUCUGACGUUAGCGGCGGACGGGUGAGUAACACGUGGAUAACCUACCUAUAAGACUGGGAUAACUUCGGGAAACCGGAGCUAAUACCGGAUAAUAUAUUGAACCGCAUGGUUCAAUAGUGAAAGACGGUUUUGCUGUCACUUAUAGAUGGAUCCGCGCCGCAUUAGCUAGUUGGUAAGGUAACGGCUUACCAAGGCAACGAUGCGUAGCCGACCUGAGAGGGUGAUCGGCCACACUGGAACUGAGACACGGUCCAGACUCCUACGGGAGGCAGCAGUAGGGAAUCUUCCGCAAAGGGCGAAAGCCUGACGGAGCAACGCCGCGUGAGUGAUGAAGGUCUUCGGAUCGUAAAACUCUGUUAUUAGGGAAGAACAAAUGUGUAAGUAACUAUGCACGUCUUGACGGUACCUAAUCAGAAAGCCACGGCUAACUACGUG